UCUGAUCUGGAUCAGUCGCUCCAGACCGGCUCUCUGGAUCCUUCUUGGACUUUUUCCCUCAGUGAUCCUCUCUGCUGUUUGUGUUUGUGUCUGUCAGAGGAAACAACCAGAAGGUCAGGAACUUAUGGAAACCUUUAACAGACCCUGAACCCACACAGCCUCUGGUGGCUGGAAGUGUUCAUCAGUGGAUCCAUCAGUGUGAAUGAGACUGAGACUGGAAAACACUGGAGAACAAAGUAAAACAGGAAAUGGAUUUACUUGAACAACACUUUUACCUCAAAGGACCAAAAUGUUUUGGUUCCAAACAGCUGCAAUACUAUUUCUACUUUGUGCAAUAUUUUGAUCAAAUGACUUUUUGAGUUGAAGCUAAAAUGUGUUAAAAAGCUUUUUGACCUGCUGUUUGUGAAUGAAAUCAGAUUUCAGAAAUAAGAAGGUCUAAAUGAAUGGAAUGUAUUUCCUGUGUGGAUUAGAACUGUACACGGUGAAAUGUGAGCACAGCUGAUGGGGUUGACUUUGACUGGGGACAUUGUCUGGUGGUGGAAGGAGAACUUAGAGGAUCUCCUCAAUCCCACUGACACGCCUUCUUUGGAGGGAGCAGAGAAUGAGGACUUUGGGGGGAGGCUGUCCAUCACCCCAGCUGAGUGUGAGAUUGACAGGUGGAUCAGAGCGGCGUCUGAGGUUAUGUGGUCGCUGUAUCGGUCCGUCGUGGUGAAGAGAGAACUGAGCCAGAAAACAAAGCUCUGAAUUUACCGGUUGAUCUUUGUUCAACA